rnacentral:misc_RNA from 1 species
CCAUUGGGACAGCAAAAGGGUGCAAUAUUCUUGUUUCCUUGAGCCUUAAAUUUUUGUUAGUUUUUGGUUCCAAAAGAUGCUAAUAGUGUUGAUUUUGUUAAUCAGUCGACAUUAAUUAUUUGAGCACCAAUAAAGUUCUGAAUAUGGAAUUUGCCAUCAUUUCUCUUACAACUUUCAUUGAUCCUGUAAUUCAUCUCACUUUGUAUCUUCUGUUUGAAAUUAUACUUUUCUGUAACCGCCACUUCAUUGGAUUGACUUGAUGGUGUUCUUUGGCAAAGCUUCAGGAACUGUAGUUGUUGCUGGCUGACAAUUUCAUGGAAUUUUUUUUUUCCCUUUUUAGUUACACAUUUCCUAUCUUUCUUUUUCUAUGAAGUUUUAUGGGUUCCUAUAUCUGCUGCAGGCUAGCCUAUUUGCAUGA